GUUGCCUAAGAAGUGCUGUGAAUUGCUCUGCUAACUCUCUGUUCUAGAAAAUGAUUCUGGUCACAAAGCCUCACAAAAAAAAUAAUUUGCAUCAAGUGAUGAAGAAGAGAGCUUGGAGGCAUUCAAUUACCUGCGGUGGUUACCAUUUGGUUCACCACGGCCUUGCCACCCAGAAAGCUGGCAAAAAGAUGUCAUGUGAUUAUAACUAACCUCCAGUGAACCAAAGGAUGGCUAAUUCCUUGUGUCUAAGAGCACCAUUGAUCCCUUUCCAAUGAAUGAUCUUUACAUUCAACAAAAAAACAAGCACUUUCUACAGGAAAGAGGUCAUUUGCAAAAAGUCUGGACAUGAAAGACUUGGAGACACAAUAUAAAGUUUUUUUCCAUGUUAAAAUAUGAAGGAACCCGCUUAGAAUAUUAAAAUAUCUACACAUCUAUCUAUUCCUACAUCCCAGAAAGAUCAUGAUAUAUCACAAUGA